GAGGCUGCUUGGGUUAUCCCAGUCUAUGUAUAUAGAGUAUUUAUGAGUAGAAUUUGUUAUAUCAUGUACACCAUGUAUGAGAUCAGAUAUGAUAUACUCAUUAGAGAUAGUGAGUGGAUAAUUGUAAGAUCUGAGUGAGAAUCACUGGAAGGUCAUCCUUGAGUAUUUGAGAAAUAUUAAGGAUCGAUGAUUUGGUUAUGGAGAAUCUAACUUAAAACUUAUAGAGUAUGACUCUAGUUUUUAGUUGGACA
rnacentral:lncRNA from 1 species